AAAACUAUUCUUCCUUCCUUCUGUUUCUGUUCUGUUCCAUUGUCUUCAUGCGAGUAGCAGUCCUCGAGUUUCGUACCUUCACUCACUCCCACAUCUCCCACGUGUCUCAACCUCCACCUUAUUCCUCCGUCUCUCCACCGUCGCCGUCAUUAACUCCGUUAAAAACUCUGUUUUUUUUUUUCUGCUCGAUCCGUCGCCAAAGUGCUCUGCCUUCGUCACCGUGACGAUGAAACUCUCCGACGUCGGAUUAGACGCAGUGAAGACGCCGAGAUUGGUCAAAGUCAUCGCCUUUGCGCUCAUCUCGAUCACAACCAUCUUCCUCUUCAACCACUUCUCUGAUUCCUUCUCUUACCCGUCUCUCGUCUCCUCCCCGGAAGCUCUACAAACCAACGCAACCACCGUCUCCGCCGUGCCACCAUCUCCUCCGCCGCGUCCUCGUCUCAAGAUCUCCCCUCCUCCUCUCCCACCGACGGUGGUCCGGACGGGAAUCAUCGACGAGAACGGCGCCAUGUCUGACACCUUUGAGAUCGGAGGGUUCGAUCCCGACGCCGUCGAUGAGAUCAAGACCGGGAACUCCUCCUCCUCGUCGGAAGCAACCGGAGACUCGAAAGCAGCGUUUCGGAUUGAGAAGCUUAGUGUGUGUGACAAGAGGAAGACGGAUCACAUUCCAUGUUUAGACAACGAAGAAGAGAUCAAGAGGCUGAACAGUACUGACAGAGGAGAGAACUACGAGAGGCAUUGUCCUAAGGAGAGACUUGGCUGCUUGAUUCCGCCGCCAGAUGGGUACAAGAAACCAAUCCCAUGGCCACAGAGCAGAGACAAGAUAUGGUUCAACAAUGUGCCUCAUACACGCUUAGUAGAAGACAAAGGAGGUCAAAACUGGAUAAGAAGAGAGAAAGACAAGUUUGUUUUCCCUGGAGGUGGAACUCAGUUCAUCCACGGAGCUGAUCAGUACUUAGACCAGAUCUCUCAGAUGGUUCCCGGCAUUACGUUUGGUGUAAGCACUCGUGCUGCAUUGGACAUUGGCUGCGGCGUGGCGAGCUUUGGUGCCUUUUUGAUGCAGCGUAACACGACAACAUUGUCUGUAGCACCUAAAGAUGUCCAUGAGAAUCAGAUACAGUUUGCGUUGGAGCGUGGUGUCCCUGCAAUGGUGGCUGUGUUUGCUACUCGGAGGUUGUUGUAUCCAAGUCAGGCUUUUGAGAUGAUCCAUUGUUCAAGAUGCAGAAUCAAUUGGACCAGAGAUGAUGGGAUACUUCUUCUUGAAGCUAAUAGAAUGCUUAGAGCAGGAGGGUACUUUGUUUGGGCUGCACAACCUGUUUACAAACAUGAGGAUAACUUGCAAGAACAGUGGAAAGAAAUGGUAGAUCUUACGAGCCGAAUCUGUUGGGAGCUUAUCAAGAAAGAAGGCUAUAUAGCUGUGUGGAGGAAGCCUCUAAACAAUAGCUGCUAUCUCAACCGAGAAGCUGGAGCCAAGCCUCCUUUGUGCAGACCUGAUGAUGAUCCUGAUGAUGUUUGGUAUGUGGAUAUGAAACCGUGCAUCACUAGAUUACCUGAAACUGGCUACGGGGCUAAUGUCUCCCCAUGGCCUGCACGUCUUCAUGAUCCUCCAGAGAGGUUGCAGAGCAUUCAAAUGGAUGCUUAUAUAUCACGGAAGGAGAUUAUGAAGGCAGAGUCUAGGUUUUGGUUUGAAACAGUAGAGAGCUAUGUGCGGGUUUUUAGAUGGAAGGAGUUUAAGCUAAGGAAUGUUCUUGACAUGAAAGCUGGCUUUGGAGGGUUUGCAGCAGCAUUAAACGAUCUAGGGCUUGACUGUUGGGUUAUGAACGUUGUUCCCAUAAGUGGAUUCAACACCUUGCCAGUUAUCUAUGACCGUGGGCUUGUGGGGACUAUGCAUGACUGGUGUGAGCCAUUUGACACAUACCCAAGAACCUAUGACUUAAUACAUGCUGCAUUUCUCUUGUCUAAUGAGAAGAAGAGGUGCAACAUAACAAACAUAAUGGUGGAGAUGGACAGGAUGUUAAGACCAGGAGGAAGGGUUUACAUAAGGGACUCCCUGUCUUUGAUGGACCAACUUAAGCAAAUAGCUACAGCCAUUGGUUGGAGAGCUGGGGUCCAUGAUACAGGAGAAGGACCACACGCAAGCGUUAGGAUACUCAUUUGCGAUAAAGGGAUUUGAGAAAAGGAUACAAAAAUCCUUAAUGGGAUGAUAAGUCUGCUCAAAGCAAACAGUAGUAGUAGAGUACUGACUGAUAAUGAUUGCGACGUUGUUUUAUUUUAUUUUUCUUGUAUAAUGGAAAGAGUGGAAAUACACUUGAGCACAUUUUAACACUGAAAGAAAGUUGAGAAACAAAGAUUUAUUAUA